rnacentral:rRNA from 1 species
GUAUAAGAGACAGCAGCCGCCACGGGAAUACGGAGGGUGCAAGCGUUAAUCGGAAUUACUGGGCGUAAAGCGCACGCAGGCGGUCUGACAAGUCAGAUGUGAAAUCCCCGGGCUUAACCUGGGAACUGCAUUUGAAACUGUCAGGCUGGAGUCUUGUAGAGGGGGGUAGAAUUCCAGGUGUAGCGGUGAAAUGCGUGGAGAUCUGGAGGAAUACCGGUGGCGAAGGCGGCCCCCUGGACAAAGACUGACGCUCAGGUGCGAAAGCGUGGGGAGCAAACAGGAUUAGAUACCCCUGUAGUCCCUGUCUCUUAUAC